CCUACGGGAGGCAGCAGUAGGGAAUCUUCCACAAUGGGCGCAAGCCUGAUGGAGCAACACCGCGUGUGUGAAGAAGGGUUUCGGCUCGUAAAGCACUUUUGUUGGAGAAGAACGUGCGUGAGAGUAAAUGUUCACGCAUUGACGGUAUCCAACGAGAAAGUCACGGCUAACUACGUGCCAGCAGCCGCGGUAAUACGUAGGGUGCAAGCGUUAUCCGGAUUUACUGGGCGUAAAGCGAGCGCAGGCGGUUGCUUAGGUCUGAUGUGAAAGCCUUGGGCUUAACCGAAGAAGUGCAUCUGAAACGGGGCAACUUGAGUGCAGAAGAGGACAGUGGAACUCCAGGUGUAGCGGUGGAAUGCGUAGAUAUAUGGAAGAACACCAGUGGCGAAGGCGGCCGUCUGGUCUGAAACUGACGCUGAGGCUCGAAAGCAUGGGUAGCGAACAGGAUUAGAUACCCCAGUAGUC
rnacentral:rRNA from 1 species